GGUUGACCUCGGAUCAGGUAGGGAUACCCGCUGAACUUAAGCAUAUCAAUAAGCGGAGGAAAAGAAACCAACAGGGAUUGCCUCAGUAACGGCGAGUGAAGCGGCAACAGCUCAAAUUUGAAAUCUGGCCUUUCUGGGGUCCGAGUUGUAAUUUGUAGAGGAUGCUUCGGGCAAGGCUGUGGUCUAAUUCGCUUGGAACAGCGGGUCAAAGAGGGUGAGAAUCCCGUCUAGGAUCGUGUGCCGCGUCCAUGUGAAGCUCCUUCGACGAGUCGAGUUGUUUGGGAAUGCAGCUCUAAAUGGGUGGUAAAUUUCAUCUAAAGCUAAAUAUUGGCCAGAGACCGAUAGCGAACAAGUAGAGUGAUCGAAAGAUGAAAAGCACUUUGAAAAGAGAGUUAAACAGUAUGUGAAAUUGUUGAAAGGGAAGCGCUUGCAAUCAGACUUGUGGCUGACGGUUCCCCCGGCCCUCGUGGCCGGGCUACUCCGUCGUGUCCAGGCCAACAUCGGUCUGGGUGGCCGGUUAAAGACCCUGGGAAUGUAUCUACCUUCGGGUCGACUUAUAGCCCAGGGUGGAAUGCGGCCCACCCGGACCGAGGAACGCGCUUCGGCUCGGAUGUUGGCGUAAUGGUUGCAAGCGGCCCGUCUUGAAACACGGACCAAGGAGUCUAACAUCUAUGCGAGUGUUUGGGUGUCAAACCCCUACGCGGAAUGAAAGUGAACGGAGGUAAGAACCCCGCAAGGGGCGCAUUAUCGACCGAUCCUGAUGUCUUCGGAUGGAUUUGAGUAAGAGCAUAGCUGUUGGGACCCGAAAGAUGGUGAACUAUGCCUGAAUAGGGUGAAGCCAGAGGAAACUCUGGUGGAGGCUCGCAGCGGUUCUGACGUGCAAAUCGAUCGUCAAAUUUGGGCAUAGGGGCGAAAGACUAAUCGAACCAUCUGGUAGCUGGUUCCUGU
rnacentral:rRNA from 1 species